UGUCUCGUGAAGGAUAGAGAGCUUGCCAAGAUUUACAGCCCUCACAUCUCGGCUCACAAAAACCCUUACGCCACUCUUUGAAGCUAUUCUGCGACUCCCUUCCCCGGUUGCCAUGGGAGACAAAGAACGAUCUCGCGACCGCGACCGUGACCGUGACCGAGACAAAGAAAGACGCCGAGACAAAGAAGAUCGUGAUCGCGACCGUGACCGAGACCGCGACCGCGACCGAGACAGAGACCGCACCCGUAGCACCCGCUCCCGCACCCGCUCACCUGACCGUACACGCUCACGACACGCCCGCUCCCCUGAGCGCCAUCGUUCUCGCUCACGCUCUCCGGAGUCUCGUUCUCAGCGCCGCCAUCGCCACCAGCGCACCCCAUCCCCAUCGCCACCCCGAAAACGUCACCGCUUUGAGACCGAAGAAGGCAGAGAUAAAGAAAGGGAAAGAGAAAGAGAGAGGGAUAGACAAAGGGCAGCUGUGUCAGAUUUCCUGGAUGGGAUCGCAAGGGAGCAGAUGGAGAGGAUUGGGAAUAACAAUACUAGUGGUGAUGGUGGUGCUGAAGGAGGAGAGGGAGAAGUAGAGGUAGAAGGAUCUUUAGUGGAUGAGGAUGAGAUUGAGAUGAUGAAGAAGUUAGGGAUUCCAAUUGGCUUCGAUUCUACCAAGGGGAAGCCAGUGCCUGGUGCGGACGUCAGUGGAGUGAGAGUGGUUACGAAGCGGCAGCCCAGGCAAUAUAUGAACCGAAGGGGAGGAUUCAAUCGGCCAUUGCCUCCAGAACGGAAUCGCUAGCUAUUUUCUUAGUCUGGCCAGAUGGAAGUAUCUUUAAGCAUAGGUGAUAUGUUGGUAACUUGAAUGGUUGAAUCACAUCAAUGGACCCAAAUGAAAGACCUUGUAAGCUGGAGUCUCCUGCAUGAUCUUGAGAUAAGUGCUAUGCCUAGGUAUUAUAAGGACUUUUUGAGACAGCCAAUUCAUUUUGUUUCUGGGUGUGGAUGCUUUUCUAGUGAGAGCAACCACAGGUAAUGGUUGGUUAUUUUGUGAGCAUGAAGAUGAGCUCUGACCCGAGGCCUCAAGAGCCAGACAAACGAGGGUUUGGCAUCUUGAUAAAGUGGCACUUUUGUGUAGUAGUUCAUAUCAUCUGAAUGAAGUUGCAUUUAAAUAAUUUAAUUUUUGACACAUGAUAUAGAAAUCUUCAGAACUGUUUCAAAAUGCAUCCAUCUUUCAGAAAGAUAGGACUGCUAAGUAAUGAAGAUAUGUUCUCACGGUUGGGGGGUAGAAUUUUAUUUAUUUAUUUAUAUAUAUUUUUUUUGAGUAGUGGGAUUUGGGGAAUAGGGACUUGAACGUUGCUUUGCUAAUUGAGUGGUAUGCCCUUAGCUGAUCAAGCCAGGCUAGGUAGUUGAGGUAGAAUUUUAGGCCAAAUGGAAUUGUAGAAAUCCUCCAUUUAAUUCCAAUGAUUUUAAAGUCGAGGUUGAAUUAUUGAUUUAA